rnacentral:rRNA from 1 species
UCGAGAAUAUUCGUCAAUGGGCGAAAGCCUGAACGAGCGACGCCGCGUGCGGGAUGACGGUCUUCGGAUUGUAAACCGCUUUUUUCAGGGAUGAACUUCGGUGACAGUACCUGGAGAAUAAGAGGUUACUAACUCUGUGCCAGCAGUAGCGGUAAUACAGAGACCUCAAGCAUUAUCCGGAUUUAUUGGGCGUAAAGCGCGAGUAGGCGGGCGUAUUUGUCAGAUGUCAAAUCUUCGGGCUCAACCUGAAAACUGCAUCUGAAACGGUAUGUCUAGAGGGGGUGAGAGAUCACUGGAACUCAUGGUGUAGUAGUGAAAUGCGUUGAUAUCAUGGGGAACACCAAAGGCGAAGGCAUGUGAUUGGCACUCUCCUGACGCUGAGUCGCGAAAGCGUGGGUAG